rnacentral:rRNA from 1 species
UGGGGAAUAUUGGACAAUGGGCGAAAGCCUGAUCCAGCCAUGCCGCGUGUGUGAAGAAGGUCUUCGGAUUGUAAAGCACUUUAAGUUGGGAGGAAGGGCAGUAAGCGAAUACCUUGCUGUUUUGACGUUACCGACAGAAUAAGCACCGGCUAACUCUGUGCCAGCAGCUGCGGUAAUACAGAGGGUGCAAGCGUUAAUCGGAAUUACUGGGCGUAAAGCGAGCGUAGGUGGUUCGUUAAGUUGAAUGUGAAAGCCCCGGGCUCAACCUGGGAGCUGCAUCCAAAACUGGCGAGCUAGAGUAGGGCAGAGGGUGGUGGAAUUUCCUGUGUAGCGGUGAAAUGCGUAGAUAUAGGAAGGAACACCAGUGGCGAAGGCGACCACCUGGGCUCAUACUGACGCUGCGGUGCGAAAGCGUGGGGAGCAAACAGG